rnacentral:rRNA from 1 species
UGGGGAUUAUUGCACAAUGGGCGCAAGCCUGAUGCAGCCAUGCCGCGUGUAUGAAGAAGGCCUUCGGGUUGUAAAGUACUUUCAGCGGGGAGGAAGGGAGUAAAGUUAAUACCUUUGCUCAUUGUCGUUACCCGCAGAAGAAGCACCGGCUAACUCCGUGCCAGCAGCCGCGGUAAUACGGAGGGUGCAAGCGUUAAUCGGAAUUACUGGGCGUAAAGCGCACGCAGGCGGUUUGUUAAGUCAGAUGUGAAAUCCCCGGGCUCAACCUGGGAACUGCAUCUGAUACUGGCUAGCUUGAGUCUCGUAGGGAGGGGUAGAAUUCCAGGUGUGGCGGUGAAAUGCGUAGAGAUCUGGAGGAAUACCGGUGGCGAAGGCAGCCCCCUGGACGAAGACUGACGCUCAGGUGCGAAAGCGUGGGGGGCAAACAGG